GAUGAAUGCUGGCGGCGUGCUUAACACAUGCAAGUCGAGCGGCAGCGCGAGUAGUUUACUACUUGGCGGCGAGCGGCGGACGGCUGAGUAACGCGUAGGAACGUGCCCCAAAGUGAGGAAUAACUGCCCGAAAGGGUGGCUAAUGCCGCAUAUGAUCUUCGGAUUAAAGGAUUUAUCCGCUUUGGGAGCGGCCUGCGUAUGAUUAGGUAGUUGGUAGGGUAAUGGCCUACCAAGCCGACGAUCAUUAGCUGGUCUGAGAGGAUGACCAGCCAGACUGGAACUGAGACACGGUCCAGACUCCUACGGGAGGCAGCAGUGGGGAAUCUUCCACAAUGGGCGAAAGCCUGAUGGAGCAACGCCGCGUGCAGGAUGAAGGCCUUCGGGUCGUAAACUGCUUUUAUAAGUGAAGAAUAUGACGGUAACUUAUGAAUAAGCACCGGCUAACUACGUGCCAGCAGCCGCCGUAA
rnacentral:rRNA from 1 species